UCCUAGGUGGCUCAAAUGGUAAAGAAUCUGCUUGCAAUGCAGGGAGACCCAGAUUCGAUACCUGGAUUGGGAA
rnacentral:tRNA from 1 species